UCAAAUUUUUUCAUGUGAUUUUCCUUGGUUCUUUUCAUUUCUUUUCUUUUCUUACUUCUUUCUUCUCCAAACUUAUUGGGCACUAAACCCGCAGCUUCUAGCCCCAAUUUUCAGCACAUCUAAACCCUAGGAGAAGAAGAAAGAAAAAGAAAGAAAGGAAGAAAAGCUUGGUUUUGUAAUUCAAGCAAGCUAAGCUUGAUGAUUAGUGUUUUGAAGGAAUAUUGGAGUGCAAGUACGGGUCAAGCAACCAUAAAGAUUCAAAGGCAGUUGGGACCUAGAUUGAGUUCUCCACGUA